CAAUAGCGUAUAUUAAAGUUGUUGCAGUUAAAAAGCUCGUAGUUGGAUUUGUGGUGCACUUCGGCGGCCCGUCACUAUGUGAUGGAGCUUGCUGAAGUCGCCAUCCUUGGGUGGAUCCUGUGUGGCAUUAAGUUGUCGUGCAGGGGAUGCCCAUCGUUUACUGUGAAAAAAUUAGAGUGUUCAAAGCAGGCUUAUGCCGUUGAAUAUAUUAGCAUGGAAUAAUAAGAUAGGACCUUGGUACUAUUUUGUUGGUUUGCGCACCAAGGUAAUGAUUAAUAGGGACAGUUGGGGGUAUUCGUAUUUCAUUGUCAGAGGUGAAAUUCUUGGAUUUUUGAAAGACGAACUACUGCGAAAGCAUUUACCAAGGAUGUUUUCAUUA
rnacentral:rRNA from 1 species